AGCAGUAGGGUAAGAGCAGCAGUUUUAAUUAAAAGUUUAUAUGCAAACAUAUCUCACAAUUUCUGUGUGACAAAUGAUUCUCCUCACCCUGUGGUUUCCCUGCUGCUGGUCAGAACAAAAUUCUUGCCUUUGCAGAAUUGAACCUUUUUGUCAAAACACAGGAAGACUGCAGUGAUUCUCACACCUUUAUCUUGGACUUCUGUAUAAGAGCUUCCAGUUCUGAUUCUUCCCUUUCCAUGCAACCCUCUGAAAUGGACUUUUCUCACUUUGUGGAUACCUAAACCAGGCUGUUGCUACAAUUGCUGAUGUAAAUUCUUUUCAUAAACUGAAAGAAAGGUU